rnacentral:rRNA from 1 species
UACGGGGGGGGCAAGCGUUGUUCGGAGUUACUGGGCGUAAAGGGCGUGCAGGUGGUCUGUUAAGUCUGGCGUGAAAGCUCCUGGCUAAACCGGGAGAGGUCGUUGGAUACUGGCGGACUAGAGGACGGUAGAGGCGUGUGGAAUUCCGGGUGUAGUGGUGAAAUGCGUAGAGAUCCGGAGGAACACCAGUGGCGAAGGCGACACGCUGGGCCGUACCUGACACUGAUACGCGACAGCAUGGGGAGCGAACGGG